GGAAUAUUGCACAAUGGGCGAAAGCCUGAUGCAGCAACGCCGCGUGAGCGAUGAAGGCCUUCGGGUCGUACAGCUCUGUCCUCAAGGAAGAUAAUGACGGUACUUGAGGAGGAAGCCCCGGCUAACUACGUGCCAGCAGCCGCGGUAAUACGUAGGGGGCUAGCGUUAUCCGGAAUUACUGGGCGUAAAGGGUGCGUAGGUGGUUUCUUAAGUCAGAGGUGAAAGGCUACGGCUCAACCGUAGUAAGCCUUUGAAACUGGGAAACUUGAGUGCAGGAGAGGAGAGUGGAAUUCCUAGUGUAGCGGUGAAAUGCGUAGAUAUUAGGAGGAACACCAGUUGCGAAGGCGGCUCUCUGGACUGUAACUGACACUGAGGCACGAAAGCGUGGGGAGCAAA
rnacentral:rRNA from 1 species